rnacentral:misc_RNA from 1 species
GAUGAAGAACGCAGCGAAAUGCGAUACGUAAUGUGAAUUGCAGAAUUCAGUGAAUCAUCGAAUCUUUGAACGCACAUUGCGCCUGCCAGCACUCUGGCAGGCAUGCCUGUUCGAGCGUCAUUUCAACCAUCAAGCCCUAGGCUUGCGUUGGAGCCCUGCGGCUGCCGCAGGCCCCUAAAAGCAGUGGCGGGCUCGCUAUCACACCGAGUGCAGUAGAUUACUCUUCGCUCAGGGCGUGUGGCGGGUUCCAGCCGUGAAACCCCCUACUUCUCAAGGUUGACCUCGGAUCAGGUAGCAAUACCCGCUGAACUUAAGCAUAUCAAUAAGCGGAGGA